CUGCUUCAGUGCUCUUAAGGUCUUUCUAGACCUUUGACUUUAUGAUUUUAUGACUGACAGCUCUUCUUCAUGAUAGCAGAUCCUAAAGCAAACAUGACUUUAAUAGCCAUCGUUAUUUGGACACUCACAACCUGCAUCUGCAGUUCUUUGGGGCAGGUUCUGACUCAGUCUGAAGAUCAAGCAGUGAAGCCUGAUCAGACUGUCACUAUUAACUGUAACCAUAAUCCAGCUGUAAAAUGUGUUAAAAAAGAUACCUCUCAGAAAUGCAUGUCCUGGUAUCAUCAGAUUCCUGGAGAACCUCCUAAACCCCUGAUAUAUUACACAUCAGACAGAGCUUCAGGUGUUUCUUCUAGAUUCAGUGGCAGUGAAAGUGGAAACCACAUGGAUUUUACUCUGACCAUCAGUGGAGUCCAGCCUGAAGAUUCAGGAGUUUAUUACUGUCAGAGUAAACAUGACAAGGGAGUCUCUGGCACCACAGACUGGGUGUUCACACAGUGUGAAAUCAUCAUACAAAAACCUCCUCAGCUUUGAGCUUCUGCAGAUGUUGAUGCUGAAGAUAAUUAUUGUCCUCACUGACUUCACACACAAACACACACAUAAACAGAGAUUCUUUAAGCAUGCAGUUGAUUUUCAUUAUUGUUUCGCACUCCUCAACACAUUCUACAUAUUUUAUUAACAAUAAACAUCAGAAUGGAUCUCAGUGAGGCUUCCACAUGAAUCCAGUGAUCGCUAUGAAUGAGAUUUAAAUGAACUCUUUGUAUUAUGGAAUUAGCCAGUCCUGUCCGAAGCACUUGCAGAUGGUAUAAAAUGCUGUCGCUAUGCUGUUGACCGGCAGAUGAAGGUUCGAUCGCUUUAAACUGACAACCAAUUGAGUAUUAAAUCGUUACAGAAGCCUGUUCCAAGAACAAUUCUACUAGAGCCUUAA